rnacentral:rRNA from 1 species
CUGAAUACAUAGGUCAUGUGAAGCGAACGCGGUGAACUGAAACAUCUAAGUAACCGCAGGAAAAGAAAUCAACCGAGAUUCCCAAAGUAGUGGCGAGCGAAAUGGGAUGAGCCUUGUACUCUUUAUUUGUAUUGUUAGCCGAACGCUCUGGAAAGUGCGGCCAUAGCAGGUGAUAGCCCUGUAGGCGAAAACAGUAUGAAAGAACUAGGUGUACGACAAGUAGGGCGGGACACGUGAAAUCCUGUCUGAAGAUGGGGGGACCAUCCUCCAAGGCUAAAUACUCGUGAUCGACCGAUAGUGAACCAGUACCGUGAGGGAAAGGCGAAAAGAACCCCGGGAGGGGAGUGAAAUAGAUCCUGAAACCGCAUGCAUACAAACAGUCGGAGCCUCUUUAUGGGGUGACGGCGUACCUUUUGUAUAAUGGGUCAGCGACUUACGUUCAGUAGCAAGCUUAACCGUAUAGGGCAGGCGUAGCGAAAGCGAGUCCGAAUAGGGCGUUCAGUUGCUGGGCGUAGACCCGAAACCAGGUGAUCUAUCCAUGGCCAGGAUGAAGGUGCGGUAACACGUACUGGAGGUCCGAACCCACUAACGUUGAAAAGUUAGGGGAUGAGCUGUGGAUAGGGGUGAAAGGCUAAACAAACCUGGAAAUAGCUGGUUCUCUCCGAAAACUAUUUAGGUAGUGCCUCGUGUCUCACCUUCGGGGGUAGAGCACUGUCAUGGUUGGGGGGUCUAUUGCAGAUUACCCCGCCAUAGCAAACUCCGAAUACCGAAGAGUGCAAUCACGGGAGACAGACAUCGGGUGCUAACGUCCGGUGUCAAGAGGGAAACAACCCAGACCGCCAGCUAAGGUCCCCAAAUAUGGCUAAGUGGGAAACGAAGUGGGAAGGCUAAAACAGUCAGGAGGUUGGCUUAGAAGCAGCCACCCUUUAAAGAAAGCGUAAUAGCUCACUGAUCGAGUCGUCCUGCGCGGAAGAUGUAACGGGGCUAAGCCAUAUACCGAAGCUGCGGAUGCGAGCUUGCUCGCAUGGUAGGAGAGCGUUCCGUAAGCCUGCGAAGGUGCCUUGUAAAGGGUGCUGGAGGUAUCGGAAGUGCGAAUGCUGACAUGAGUAGCGAUAAAGGGGGUGAAAGGCCCCCUCGCCGUAAGCCCAAGGUUUCCUACGCAACGUUCAUCGGCGUAGGGUGAGUCGGCCCCUAAGGCGAGGCAGAAAUGCGUAGCUGAUGGGAAGCAGGUCAAUAUUCCUGCACC